AUCCAUCAUACAAUAUAGUCCAUCUUCAUAAUGAAUGAAUUAAAAGUUUACUUUCUUAGGAAUUCGUUUCUUACUCUUUGUGCCAGUGUGCCCAGAAGAGGAAGAUACAAUACAAGAAUGUCAUUUUUUCCAUAGGCACACUGAUCAGUUUUCUUGUCACUUGUUCAAAAUCCACAACAUCAACAAUUUAAAGGAGAAGUUACUUGGCUUCCAGUUUCAGAGGGUUCAGUCCAUAGUUGGAGGAAAUGGCCUGGUAAGAGAGCAUGUGGAAGAAAGCUGCUUAACUCAUGGCAGCCAGGAAUGAGAGAGGACAAGAAUCCACUCUUCUUCCAGUGCCUGCCUCGAAAGCGCAAGGUCCUGAGUUCGAUUCCCAGUACCAAAAAAAAAAAAAGAAUCCACUUUUCUGAGACGUGUUCACAGUCUCCUGUCUCUUCUAAGCUGGCACCUCCUCCUAGUAGCACAUUUAGCUACAAACUCAUCAAUGUAUUAAUCUACAGAAGACUAUAGAGAUCCAACCCCCUUCCAAAUGCCCCAUCUCUGCACACACGAGACUUCUGGGGGGGCAUUUUAGAUCUAAACAAUAACAAUAGGUAUUACUGUUUAUCCUAUUACAGGACUGUAUUAAUCAGCAGCCUUGAUUCAGUAGUGACAGAGAUCUCUGUGAAGGCUAAGUCUAAUUAUCAACUUCAUUGGAUGGAGAGCUGCCUAGCGAUGAGUGAAGCACACAUCAGGUAUGCCUGGGUGGGGCAUGGAGGUGUGACUGGGGUUUAUAUCCACUCCCUGGCCUCUCCCCAUCUGGCACCAUUCCCUUGCUCUGCUUCCUGGCCACCCUGAACAGAGCGGAUUUCCUCUGCCACGCCCUUCAUUAUGAUGCUCCUGCUCGGAAGCCACAAACAAUAGACUGAAUCCCCUGAGCCCCUCCUGAAAUUAUAAGGGUGCUGGGUAUUGUGUUUCUUGGACAAGAAAACUGACACCUACAUCCUCUCUCCUCCAAAAACCUAGGUGCAGGCUGUGGGGGUGGUCAGUGUUGGGGUGGGUUUUAAUAAACAAGUAAAAUCAAUAAUGUUCAAAAGCUAUGGGCGCUAUGAAGAAAAGAUACUUGGAUAAUAAGAAAGAGAGACUGACAUGGGCUAGGAGAGAGCAUAAAAUGUUAUAAUUUGUAGGGUGAGGACAAGUUAGCCAUUAAUGGAUAAUCAAGGAGAGAAGUUUGUGGACCCUGAAAAAAAUCCAGUGAAAACAAGGAGAGAUCUAUUUCCAGAAAGAGUGGAACAGGAAUCUGAUCAAGCAGAGCCUUGUGGGGCAAGAGAUUUCGGUUCAUGGACACUUGCUUCUGUUACUUUUGGAUCCAGAGUGAGUCAGAACCUCGUGGUGGAGGGCAUGUGGUGCAGCAGAGUGGCUCACACCUCAUGAUGGAGAGAGAAAGAAAGAAAAGAGAGAAACAAGAGAGGGAAAGGCAAGGGCCAAGAUACAAUCCCCAGGGUCUCACCCCUAAGAGCCAGUCCCAUUAGACUCCAUCUUCCUAAGAUUCCAUCAUCUCCAAAUAAAGCCAUGAAAUUAUGAAUCUACCAAUGGGUUCACCAUGAUACAAUCACCAGGGGCUGGGGUUCUAGCUCAGUGGUUUCACCACCUGCUUCGCAAACAGAAGGACCCGAGUUCGAUCCCCGGUACCAAAAACAAAAAGAAAUGAUACAAUCACCUCCCAAGUGUCCUUCAGCUGACAACCAAGCUCACAGCACAUGACCU